UACGUAGGGACCGAGCGUUGUCCGGAAUCAUUGGGCGUAAAGAGCGUGUAGGCGGCUUGUUAAGUCUUGCGUGAAAUCUCGGGGGCUCAACCCCGAGCGGUCGUGAGAAACUGGCAGGCUAGAGUGCGGGAGAGGAGAGUGGAAUUCCUGGUGUAGCGGUGAAAUGCGCAGAUAUCAGGAAGAACACCCGUGGCGAAGGCGGCUCUCUGGACGGUAACUGACGCUGAGACGCGAAAAGCGUGGGGGAGCAAACAGG
rnacentral:rRNA from 1 species